UGGGGAAUAUUGGGCAAUGGGCGAAAGCCUGACCCAGCAACGCCGCGUGAAGGAAGAAGGCCUUCGGGUUGUAAACUUCUUUUAAGAGGGACGAAGAAGUGACGGUACCUCUUGAAUAAGCCACGGCUAACUACGUGCCAGCAGCCGCGGUAAUACGUAGGUGGCGAGCGUUAUCCGGAUUUACUGGGUGUAAAGGGCGCGUAGGCGGGAAUGCAAGUCAGAUGUGAAAUCCAAGGGCUCAACCCUUGAACUGCAUUUGAAACUGUAUUUCUUGAGUGUCGGAGAGGUUGACGGAAUUCCUAGUGUAGCGGUGAAAUGCGUAGAUAUUAGGAGGAACACCAGUGGCGAAGGCGGUCAACUGGACGAUAACUGACGCUGAGGCGCGAAAGCGUGGGGAGCAAACA
rnacentral:rRNA from 2 species